CCUUGUUCUCAGGGCGGGGUGAAAGUCCCCACCGGCGGUAAGGGUUUUUGCCCAAGCCCGCGAGCGCCCAACGGCAUGUUGCGCCUUAGGGUUAGCAGAUCCGGUGUGAUUCCGGGGCCGACGGUUACAGUCCGGAUGAAAGAGAAUGAGC
rnacentral:ncRNA from 2 species